AUUAGAUGAGUAUUUUAAAAAAAUUAAUUUUAAUAUUAUUUUUUUGAAUUGUAAAUCAGAAGGUUUAAAAUGAAAGAACCAAUUUUGGGAAGAAAAUAAAUCUUGGAAUUGGGAUUUCAUCAAACUAUGCAUGGCCUCUUGGCCUUAGCUAGCCUGUAUAAAGGGGAUUUUAAUUCAAGCUAUUUAUAUAUGGGUGCCUAAAACAUCUCAUGCUAGUUAUUUAUGUUCUUCCCUCAAAUUUAAUCAUGGCCAAAAUUUCAUUCCCUUUUGCUUUUUAUUUCCUACCAUUCAAGGAAGCACCACCUUUUGCAUUAUACUGCGCCUGAUCUAGAUUAGCUACGAAAGACUUUGAGCGAGAAUGGCCUAGGCAACAUCAUCAUUGAUAUUAUCUUUUUUCCUUCGUUGUCUGCCUAGCAUAGGAAUAUCUAUGUUAUCCUAUCCUUUAUAGUCUGA